rnacentral:rRNA from 1 species
UACGUAGGUCCCGAGCGUUGUCCGGAUUUAUUGGGCGUAAAGCGAGCGCAGGUGGUUUAUUAAGUCUGGUGUAAAAGGCAGUGGCUCAACCAUUGUAUGCAUUGGAAACUGGUAGACUUGAGUGCAGGAGAGGAGAGUGGAAUUCCAUGUGUAGCGGUGAAAUGCGUAGAUAUAUGGAGGAACACCGGUGGCGAAGGCGGCUCUCUGGCCUGUAACUGACACUGAGGCUCGAAAGCGUGGGGAACAAACAGG